AGUUCUGUUGUCUACAAAGCCAGCAGUAAAGGAGGAUGUUUGUUUGCCUGCACCCUGUGCAAUCCUGCCCCUUCAGCUUGUACUUCACAUUUGCCAGGAGGCUCAUAGACCCUCUUUUGGGAGAAGACUGAGCCAAAGUAGAAACUGAGCACUUCUGCCUUUUCUUUGUUGUCUGUUACCAUUAUGCCAUCAUCACUGGGAAGAAAAUUCCGUAAGUGGAAUGCCACAGCCAAGAAGGCCCUUUCCCAGUCCCCAUCCGCCUCACCUAUGUCAGUCAAGAUCCCUAGAGGAGAUUCUGAAUAAUCUGAAGAUUAUUGCCAUGCAAAGGCAGGCUGAUAUGUGCGUAAGGCUGCAAUUCAGUACACACUUACCUGGGAAUAAGUCUCUUUGAACCCAGUGGUGCUUACUUUAGAGUAGAGAUGUAUUAGAUUGCAGCAUAAAUGUUUCCUAAACAACAGGUCCCAAGAUGUGUAUAGCUUUAAAUGUAAGUACCAGCACUUUGAAUUGUGCUUAAUCAGGAGUCAGUAAGGGCAUCUUUAAGCAGCAGUGAGAUGUGUUCCCAAUAGCCAUUCCCAAUUAGCAGUCUAGCAGCUGCACUGUAUAAAACAACAGCAAUUCCCAAGAGGUCUUCUAAAGGUAGCCCUGCAUAUGUAGAAAGCCAUAGCCAAGCUUUCUCUGUCCAGAAGGGACUGCAACUGACACACCAGCCUCAGCUGGUGAAAUAUACUCCAUGCUAUUGAUGCCAUCUGGGCCUUCAGCUACAAAGCUGGAUCAAUAAGCACCCAUAGACUGUUGAUCUAAUCCUUUAGGGUUCCCUUCCCCAACCUGGUGUCCUCCAGAUGUUUGGACUUCAGUUCCCAUCAUCCAUGAUCAAUGGUCAUGCUGGCUGAGUCUGAUGAGAAUUGUAGUCCAAAACAACUGGAGGGCACCAGGUUGGAGAAUACUGCUUGGGGUGUAUAACUUCAUUGUUGAACUGUAGUGAUAAUUUUAACUAUGUCUUGUGUUUAUUGUAUUAGGGCGCAAUCCUAAUCACACUGGGCAGCAGUGGCGCUCAAUGGGGUGGUGGAGCCAGUGCCACAUCCCCAGCCACAUGCCAGCCAGAAAAAGCAACACCAUGGCCAUCAUAGCAUAUGGACCGGGAACAGGUCCCAUGCCACAAAGUGCAGCUCACUGGGCCAGCUUAGGAUCCAGUGGAUCCUUGGCCAUCCUCUUCCUGACUCUAAAAUGUCCCACUUCACAGCUCUUCAUUGGCUACCACAGACACGGACAUUGCAGGCAAUAGUUUCUGCCCAUCCACACUCUGGGCAAUUGGAGUAGAGACCUCCACUGUAAUGGAGCCUCCCCACCAGCAGAGCCUGGCAUAGCCUGGACAGAGUGGAAGGAUACCUCUGCCUCAUCCAAAAGCUCUCCAGAGUGGUGGAUUGUGGGUUGGAUUGCUCUAGCUUUCCAUUUAGACUUUUUUUUGUAAAUUGCUUUGAGCACAAACAUGCAGGAAAAUCAGAGCUUGGAAAAGUUACUUUUUUUGAACUACAGCUCCCAUCAGCCCAAUCCAGUGGCCAUGCUGGCUGGGGCUGAUGGGAUUUGUAGUUUAAAAAAAGUAACUUUUCCAAGCUCUGAAAAUUCUCUGUGACUGUGAUUCCAUCCAAAACAGAUAGAACACCAUCUCCCUAGGUAGAUAAACAAUCUACCAGUAGUAACUCCAUCUUGUAAGAAAUGAACUUCAGUUUGUUGGCCCUCAUCCAAACCAUUACUGAUUCCAAGCACCAGGUUAGCACUUCCACUGCCACACCAGAAUCAGUCGUAAAGGGGAAAUAGCAGUGAGUGUCACCUGUAUAUUGAUUCCAAAACUCCUCUCUCGUUAGUUUGAUUCCAGUUCCAAACCCCCUCACUCAUCAGUUUCAUGUAGACAUUAAAACAUGAUGUAAUUAUACCUAAAUUAGAGACUCACCCAAAUCCAUUCAGUCAUAAUAUUCAUUAUGUCCUUGAGCCCUUGGAGAUUAAUAAGCAACUUGAAUGUUCUCCCCACCCCAAAUUUUAAAAUAUUAUCACUACUUCAGAGCAGAGAGGUAUUGUCCAUAUACAGGACCCCUUUCACACUAAAGAGCAAACAGGGUGUAUGACCAGCAUCAACAUUGAAAAGGCAAGGCUUGCGAGUGAUAAACCAUUCCUGCCCUUCCAUAUUCACUAUAAUGUGUGAGGGUAUUUUUCUGCACAGCCCUGUAGGUGGUGUGCUAAAGGGGUGCUGUUCCACUGGACUAUAUUAACUCUCUGAGCACUCUGGAGAGAAUUGGAAUCUAUUUGCUGCUGUUGAUGCCGAGAUAUUUUGAUGGAUUGUUAGUGGAUUUUAAAUUUGCUCUGAUUUUGUUCUGGGGUUUCAUAUUUGUGCUGGAAUUUAGUGAUUACUAGCUGCCUUGCAAAGUUUUUUUUUUAAUUGGGAAUAUG